rnacentral:snoRNA from 1 species
GAGCAUAUGAUGUUAAGUAGGAGAUGCUGCUGAGAUUAUGUCAUUGAAGUCUCUAAAACCGAGCUUUUUAAAACUGAUGCUUG